rnacentral:rRNA from 1 species
AACUCUUUUGUAUUUUAGUGGCCUCUCUGAGAAAACAAGCAAAUAAGUUAAAACUUUCAACAACGGAUCUCUUGGUUCUGGCAUCGAUGAAGAACGCAGCGAAAUGCGAUAAGUAAUGUGAAUUGCAGAAUUCAGUGAAUCAUCGAAUCUUUGAACGCACAUUGCGCCCGCUAGUAUUCUAGCGGGCAUGCCUGUUCGAGCGUCAUUUCAACCCUCAAGCCCUGCUUGGUGUUGGGGUCCUACGGCUGCCGUAGGCCCUUAAAACUAGUGGCGGGCUCGCUAUAACUCCGAGCGUAGUAGUAAAAUAUCUCGCUAGGGAGGUGUCGCGGGUUCCGGCCGUGAAAGCCCCAUCUUUUACACAAGGUUGACCUCGGAUCAGGUAGGAAUACCCGCUGAACUUAAGCAUAUCAAUAAGCGGAGGAAAAGAAACCAACAGGGAUUGCCCCAGUAACGGCGAGUGAAGCGGCAACAGCUCAAAUUUGAAAUCUGGCUUCGGCCCGAGUUGUAAUUUGUAGAGGAUGCUUUUGGUGAGGUGCCUUGUGAGUUCCCUGGAACGGGACGCCAGAGAGGGUGAGAGCCCCGUAUACUUGGACACCGAGCCUCUGUAAAGCUCCUUCGACGAGUCGAGUAGUUUGGGAAUGCUGCUCUAAAUGGGAGGUAUAUCU